rnacentral:lncRNA from 1 species
GAAGGGCCCUCUUUUCCCCUGGGCUCCUGUUCCAGCUGCACGAUGUGAUCCACCAGCUAGGAGGGAUGCCAAUAAGGCGUCCGAUAAGAUAAGUCUUAUAAAAUAUAUAGAUGUAUGAUAAUUGAGACUGAGCUAACAGAUGAGAAUCCUAGUCAUUGGCCAAGCAGCAUUGUAACUAAUACAAGUCUCUCUGUGUAUUCAUUUGGGCCUAACUCAGACAGGCGGCUGUCGUAAAGCUCACAUGUGACAGUGGGGCUCAGGCGGCUUUUGGCAGAAAGAUUUAUAGUAACACAUACCCUCACAGAAGAGCUGACCCCUGCACUGUAGAGAGAUGGCUCCACCCCUCACCACAGGCAAGGGAGAACUGACCCUGAGGGCUUGAGUCUAAGGGAGCUGGCUCUUCCCCUUUGCCUGAGGUAGACAGUCCCAGUGACCUGGCCUGGCAGGCUCAACCACCACCCAGAAUAAUACCAGGAUUUUAAUGAUUUGGGGAAGCUGUUGUCAUUUCCUAAAUGUUAUUCUUCAAACCCUGUUGAAGAAGAGUACCUUCUCUGUUUCAUACUUUAGAUUUAGCCCUUCAUUCUUCCUCACUGGGAUCACUAACCACCCGGGUCUCAGUAUCUUUCUCUAAAUAUUACUUGUUUUAAAAAAUAUAUAAGAUUCAUGGUUUACCUGCCUUUUUCUUUUAGUCCACACUCUGCAUAUGUUCUUGACUGUUGACUAAUUUGGGGCAAUUAUUCACUUUCUAUUCUUUUUUGUGUUUAUUCUUUUUUGUUAUUUAUUUAUUUAUCUCUCAUAUAUUACAUCUGAUCUCAUUUCCCCUACCUCCUUUUCUCCCAAUUCCUCCACUCAUCUCUCUUCUCCCCUCAGCCACCCAAUCCUUCUCCAUUUCCCUUCAGUAAAGUUAAGGCCUCCCAGGGAUACCAACCAAGCACGGCAUAUCAAUUUGCAAUAAAAUUAGGCACCUCUCUUCAUAUUGAAACUGGAAAGGAGACUCAAAAUGAGGAAAAGGGUCCAAAAAAGCAGGCAAAAAAGUCAGAGACCGCCCUCACUCCCAUGGGUAAAAGUCAGACAAGAAGACCAGGCUAGACAACCAUAACAUAAAUGUAGAGGACUUUGGUCAGACCCAUGCAGGCUUGCUGAUUUUUUGUUCAGUCUCUGUGAGCUCCUAUGAGCUAGGUUAGUUGACUCUGUGCCUUUUUUUGUAGUGUACUUGUCCCUUAGCUCCUAAAAUCCUUCCUCCCCCUCUUCUGCAGGAUUCCUGAGUUCUGCCUAAUGUUUGGCUGUGGGUGUCUGCAUCUGUUUCCAUCAGAUGCUGGGUGAAGCCUCUCAGAUGAUGAUUAUGGCUAGGCUUAAUGCAUGAGUGUAUGAGUAUAGGAGAAUAUCAUUAUGUAUCAUUUUAUUGACUUUUUUGUCUAGGUUUUGUUCCAUUUGGUUCCAUUCUAGGUGUCUAGGAUAUCCAGCCUCAAGUUUGUGGUCAUCCAAGCAAUGUCAGGGGUGGGCUUCCUCCAGUGCCAUAGGACUUAAGCUGGAUUGCUCAUUGGCUGGCCAUUCUGCUGAUUUCUGCUAGACCUUUAACACAGCACAUCUUGUAGAUGGAACAAAUUGACCGUGACCUGAGAUUGUAUAAGGGAAAUCAGUUCCUGAAGGGGCUAUUUAACCCAUUAGGAUGGCUUGACUAUCUUCAUUUGAGCUCCCCAUAAAAGCUUGGGAACAGAGGAGGGAGAGAACUAGGAUAAGGAAAGCUGUUUGAACUCAGUUCACUGGGCCAGAUAGGACGAUGUUCACAGAGGCGAUAGAAAAACUGAGCCAGUGGGGACUUUAAAGCUGUUGAGAGCUUUAGCAGCUUUACUGAGUGCUUUGAUGGGCCAAGAUCUUUAUAAAGCAGGACAGACUUCUCCAGAUCUCCGUGACUUAGACCAGCAUCUAAAGAGGUUCCAUGAAAUGAAAGAGCAACCUAGAGAAGAGAUGAAAAAGACAAAGGAGAAGAAGACGUCUUCUGGGUUACUCGAAGAUAAAUGUGGCUGGAUGUGGUCAGGCUGAUAAUUAUCCCCUCUCCCAGAGUAAGGGGGGGUACAUUUUCCUAUAGCAUAAGUAUUUUUCUAAGGGUGGAGAUUGUUUACCCAGCCAGGAACUCCGCUCAAGACAAGAUGUAGUGGAUGAAGAAGCAACAGCUCCACCUCCGGCUCCGGCUCCGACUCCAGCUCCAGCUGCAGCCACAGUUUGAACUCAGGGCUGCUCUCACCCACGGAGACCGCAGGUGUGGCUGGGAAUGGCAGCAUCUGCUUCCCUCUUGGUGCACAACUGACUAAACAGAUACAGUCAGGACCACUGAAUUUAACAGGGGUUCAUAAAUAUAGGAAGGGUCUAUGAAGAGCUCCAGGAUAUGGAGUACUUUUUUAUUUCUUUCUUGUUUUUUUUUCUUUGAUUCACUCAUUAUUGUUUAAUUUCCGUGAAUUUAUGUAUUUGCUAGAAGUUUCUUUGUUGUAAAUUUUAAAUUUUAAUUCUUUGUGUUUGUACAGGAUAUAAGGAGUAGUUUUAAUCUUUUUGAUUAAUUUUUGUAUUUAAAUAUUUAUCCUGUGUCACUAAAUGUGUUGUAUUUUAGCAAAAUUUCUACACACUGAUGAGGAGAAUCUGCCUUCUUUCUUGUUUGGGUGGAAUAAUCUAUAGAUAUCUUCUAAGUUCAUUUCAAUUAAUUUUAAUUUUGGUUCUUCUCUGUUUAUUUCUUGUCCAGAUGGCCUGAUCAUUAGAGAAACCACAAUAUUGAAACCACCUACUAUUAAUGGGUUUGAUGUUAAUCUGUAUCUUUAAACAUAAUAACACAUGUUUUACUUUUGAAAUUCUGCACUUCAAAGUUUGGUGCAUAUAUGUUUAUAAUAUUAUUUGUCUUCUUGGUUAACAGCUCCCUUGGUUAGAAUAAAGUGGCCUCUUUAUCGCUUCUGAUUAGUUUUAUUUUUAGCUCUAUUUACCAAAUGCCAGGGAAGCAGCACUUGCCUGCUUCCUGGUCCCAUUUUAUUGGAAGGUUUUUAAUCCAUUCUUUAUCUACAAGGCAGCAUGUAUUUUUAAAGUCAUGAUGUGUUUUUUUGCAGAGAGCAGGAACAUUUCUUGAUCCACUCAGUCAGAUAUUGUUUUUUCAUUGAACAAUUGAGGAUUUCGAUAUUUGAAGUUAUUAUUGAAGCCUAUGCUAAUUGUUGUCUUAGUAUUGUUAUUUGUUUCCUUGGUGGUGCCUUGUGUUUUAAUAAUUAUGGCUAUGGAUUUCUUUCUACAAACUCUCUGCUAUGCUUAUUCCUCUUGUCAGGCCUAAAUAUUGCUUCUUAUAUUCUCUUUUGGUUUAAUUUGUUUCUAAAUUUUUGUUUUUGUUUUGUUUUGUUGGCAAUGUAUAGCAUGGAAUAUUUUUCUUUCUCUUUCAAUAGUUAUCAGACAGUUUUUCUGGAUCUAUUAGUCUAUUAGCCAUAGACUAAGUUUAAGGCUUGGAAUGCAUUGUUCCACAUUCUUCUGGCUUUCAAUAUUUCUGUUGAGAAAUCAUCUGUUGUUCCGAUGACUUCUCCUUUGUAUGUGGCUUGCAGUUUUUCUCUUCCUUUUUCAAUAUAUUUUCUUUGUUAUGUAUACUUUGUGUUUUAACUAUGAUAUGCCACAUGGAUUUAUUUCCUGUCUAUUUGAUGUUCUGUUCACUUUUUUAUCUAUAUAGGUGUGUUUUUCCUCAAAUUGGGAAAGUUUACAAAUGUUCUUGUUGAAGAUCUGGUCUAUGUUAUUGAUGUGGGAUUUUUCUCUUUCAUCUAUGCCCUUAAUUUGUAAAUUUUAUUGUUUUCAUGGUAUGCCACAUUUCCCAUAUUUUCUUUUCCUGUUUUUUUCCAUAUUAUUUGCUUAUUUGGUUUUGUCUCUCCUUUAUCUUUGAACCCUGAUGUCCUAUUUUCUGUUUGAUUCAUUCCACUUGUAAGACUUUCCUUUGAGUUUUCUAGCUGAUUGACUGGGUUUUUCAAUUCCGUCUUUAUUUCAGUUUGAUUCAUCUUCAAUGUUUUUUCUAUAUCCUUAUACUGAAUUCUGACCUCUAGUGUUGGAUUGUCCUUUUUAUUUCUAGUAGCCUUAUGUUUGUAUUUUUGGGGCAUCAUUUGGGUCUUUUUUUUUUCUUUAAGCUAUUUCUUCUAAGUUUUGUGUCCUGGGUUCAUCUAGUUGUUUAUCAUGGGUAAACAUUUGCAAAGGACUUGUAGUAUUGAGAGAGGAGAUGAUGACUUGAUCUUUUGUGUUGUUUAUGAGAUCUGGGCUUGUUGACUUCUUUCAUUAGUUCUAAGUCUUAGGUAUAGAACAGAUUAAGGCACAAUAGAGGAUUGUGUUGGGGGGCUAGAGGAUAGAAAUAUUUUUAUUGGUGGAAUUUACUCAGGUGGAUAGAGGAGUCUGGGAUUGUGUAUACAAUUUGUAUCCUGGUCCAAUCCUGGAGUAUAAAAGUAGACCUGCUGGAUGGAAUGGCGUGAUAUGGUAUGAGAGAAGCCCUUCAAUUGAGAAUUGGAAGGGAGGUUCCUGGAUGAACUCAAGAGAUCAUUUGUGGUCAGGCAAGGGUGGCUAGAUUGCUAUAAACUUUAGAUGUGUGGGCUAUCUCUGCUGUGUCAUGGGGAGUUCAUAAAUAGGUAGGGUGAGAAACCUCACUGUGUUAUACAUUGGAGAAAGACUUGGGCUCUAUGGCUGGUGGGAAGUAUGGCUGAAAUCCAGAAAGGAUCUGGGGUUGGUGACAGGUUGUAUGGGUAAGAAGGAUAUGGAUGAUCUGUCUGGGUGGUGAGACUGGCUGUGAUGCAAAAGAUACCCAUAGUUGUGGGACAUAACCUGGAAGAAGUCUAGAUGUUCAUUGCAGUGUAGACAGGGAUGAUCAGAUUAGUCCAGGAUACUAGAUAUGUGGCAUAGGCUAGAUCUGGUGGGUUGAGAAAGUGUGGGUAGGGAGAUCAGGGAGACCCACUGGGCCACAUCCUGGAAAAGAAAUGGGGGUUCUGGCUGGUUAGAAAUGUUGGAUGUGACACUUGCAAUAGACUUUAAGGGGAGAAACUUAUGAGAUACCUGUAGGUCAUUGAGAGUAUGACCUCAGGAAAGUGACUGCUCCCCAGAGAGAGCUAUACCAAAGUUACUUAAUGUAAAAACCCAAACGUGAGCACUUCAUCCUCUCUGUCUUCUGUUUAUAAAAGUAAGUGAGCUAUGCUCCUUGUAAACACUCCCAGUACACACCAGGGAGCCCUUGUCAGAGUCAGUAUUACAUUGUACUUUCAGCUAAAUAGACUUCUAUUCUAUGUAAAGCUACUCUGCCUGAAGCACUUUAUUCCUGCAGUAAAUACUAAUAUAGCACUACAACAAUAUUUCAUUUUUGUUAUUAUUUAUGCGACAAAGUGCAUUUGCAGUUUAGAUUUAGAUGUAUUCUGUAGGCUACUGUCUGUCCUUACUUUCCACCCAAAGUUUGCCAUAUACAUUGCAGUGGAGCUCUGAAUCUCAGACUGGUUUUGUUUGUGUGUUUGUUUUUCUAAUUAGCCAUUUGUUUAAUUUACCAAAAUGCUUGUGAAUAAAAUAUGUGACAACGAUGGAGAAGAUAAUCCCUUGACACAAGAAUCCUAUGCCUGAAGAUCCAACCCAUCUUCUCUGCCCCAGAACACAGCAAAAUAAAAUUUAAGAGAAAACAAUGAAAAAAAGGGGGAGAAAGGGAAAAUCUCAUCAUGGAAGCUGCAGUGUGAAACAGUGUAUCCAUAAUUUCACAAUGCUGGGCCCUCACUGAAUCUCUUCUUGGACAUCGUGUUGCUUCCCUGUAUCAUGGAGAUCCUGCUGCUCUGGGUCCUUAAGACUGGCCCCAUCUCUACCCCAUCCCCACCCCAUAGGGUGAAUGUCGAGGUUCAGCUAUGAUGUGCUACCUAGGCCUGGAGCAGGGCCUGCUUUCCUGAGUGUCACAGCUGCUGAGAUGGAGGGUCUGCAUAUCAGUUUAUUAAGAUGGAAUCGCUGCUAAUUACAUGGUAGAGAAGCUAAUUGCCAUAAUCAUUGUGGUUCUCCAGAAUACACAUUGGAAUCAAAUGGUUUAAAACCACAAGGAACUUUUCCUGAUGCCUGGUGACAAGGCUGAGGUGGAUGAAUCUGUGCAGCUACUUCAAUCUGUUAAAGAGUUUGUGGGCCACACAGUGGUCACGUGCAUACAAGAAGUCAAAGAGCUCCUCUGUACAAUCCUUUUCGUCUGUGUUGGGGAAGACAUGCUUAUCACAAAGCUCUAGCCGCUCCCUGGCCUUUACACACUUCUCUAACUGCUCACAUUGCUCUCUCACUGUAGUUAGGGGGUCCACUAAUUCCUCCUGCUCUUCUUCCUCUUUGGAGUCUCUGGAUCCAGUAAGCAUCUUUCGUUCGUCCUCUAGUCCCAUGUCAGGAAGCUGUUCAGGACUCAACACCAGGAGAAACAUUUCUUAUUCCACUUCAGGAUCAAAAAUCCUGUUUCCCACUUUUUUCCUCCCUUUUUUUAUUAGAAAGAAAAUUACUUUACAUUUCAAUCUCAGUUCCCUCUCCCUCUCUCCUCCCCUGACCCCCCCCAACUAACCCUGUACCCAUCACAUACCCUUUCUGCUCCCCAGGGAGGGUGAGGCCUUUGAUAGGGGGUCUUCAAAGUCUGUCAUAUUCUUUGGGAUAGGGCCUAGACAAACCUGCUUGUAUCUGGGCUCAGGGAGUAUCCCUCCAUAUGGUUGGUCCGAAAGUAGUGUUGUUUACAACUAAUUGAUCACAAUCUGUUUCCCACUUUUAUUCAUGUAUAGUUCUUUUAGUAGGCUUGAGGCCUCAAGGAUUUUUGUUCAUCCAGUUUGGUGUAUUCAUUAAACUCAUCCAUAUUUUAAAUAAAAUUCAGUGAGAUUAAAGACAACCACAGAGAAAGGUAUAUUAGCAUGAUAAAUAAGUGGGAGAGGAUCGAGUGAGAGACCAGGGAGAGGAAUAGGAGAAGGUAACCAAUUGAGAGAAACAGAGGUGCUAGUCAGUGAGGACUUGUUACUAGAUGUCUUUUUCUCCAUGUCCCAGACACUUCCUCUAUCUCCAGGCUAACUAUGCAAACUUUAUAUUACUAUGGUUUGUUGUUUUUGUUGUUAUUUGUUCUGUUGGAGAAAGUGGCUCAUCAUGAAGAGAUUAAAAAGAGG